CCCUAUUAUUGAGAACAAAAACUAACUUAGAGAGUAGGUUCCGCUGAAAACCAUUUAGGGUGGCGGUUUUCUUUACUAUCAGAUAGAUGUGUUUCUAAAACGAAUUUGCACGAAUAUCUUUCUUACUCUUGAAAAUACAUCCUGUACACCGCCGUCUGAAGGAUCAACUUAGAACUUUAAUCCCUUUUCUUUUUAAGAAAUAAGUCAGGUAAGGUGCAGACUAUGGGUAAGAAGGGAUGCAUCUCUCUUUUUCUACGAAAGUUUGUUUGAAAAACUAAUUUAAGAAGAAUUUGAAAGUAAGAUUUUUUUAUCAUAAAAAUCUGAAGUAGUUACAAGAAAAUGUACACAUCGCCCGUCG
rnacentral:rRNA from 1 species